rnacentral:tRNA from 1 species
AGCUCAGAUGGUAGAGCAAUGGACUGAAAAUCCAUGUGUCCCUGGUUCGAUCCCUGGAGGUACCA